CAAGCAGGCCGCCUUAUCGCUCUAUUUACUUCUUCUAAAGAAUAAAAUGGAGAGGAAAGUCCGGACACCAUAGGGAAGCAUAGCGGCUAACGGCCGUCAUUCUUAAUCUAGAUAACCAUCGAGAUUGGGAUUAGGACCAGUGCAACAGAAAGAAUGUACAGAUCAUGCUGUAGUGAAACCAGGUAAACUCUAUGCGGUGCAAUGCCAUGUAUACCGGUUUUUAAGCGUUCCCGCGCGAUGCCGGAGGGUAGGCAGAUAGAAUGUAUGGGCAACCAUGCAUCCAGAUAAAUGAUAGGGUCUCAAUUUUUAUUGAGAAACAGAAUCCGGCUUAUAGGCCUGCUUUUUUC
rnacentral:RNase_P_RNA from 1 species